rnacentral:rRNA from 1 species
UGAGGAACAUGACUUUCGGUGGGGGAGUAGCCGGCCCAACGGCCGGGUAAUACCGCGUACGACCAUUUGGGGACAUCCCCGAGUGGUGAAAGCAGCAAUGCGCCGAAAGAGUGCCUCGCGGCCUAUCAGUUAGUUGGCGAGGUAACGGCUCACCAAGGCGACGACGGGUAGCCGGCCUGAGAGGGUGACCGGCCACACUGGGACUGAGACACGGCCCAGACUCCUACGGGAGGCAGC